UUACUGUAUUCUAAAUGAUCUAAUUUAAUGAACACAACCAUUCAAAUUUUGUUUUAAGUAAAAUAUAACUAACUACAAGUUUGAACUAUUAAAGUAGAAUUAUAUUAUAACUUAACAUUUUCAUUGGUUAUUCUAUUUCGGUCUGGUUACCCAGACCACCUCAAGCUUGAAUAAUAGAAUGACCGUUCGACAAUUAAAAAAAAAAAAACCUUCUGAUACAGUUUUCUAGGAUGCAAUUAUAUAUAUUGGGGGGCGGGCGACGGUAGUACAUUAGCCAUAAUGAUGGAGGUAAAUGCCCUUUCCCAAAUU
rnacentral:lncRNA from 1 species